rnacentral:piRNA from 1 species
UGAAACUGUUGGUAUGUAUUGGAAGGGA